ensembl:lncRNA
UUAUCAUGGUAGUUGGAGCUGUUGUUAUCAUGGUAGUUGGAGCUGUUGGUGUCAUGGUAGUUGGAGUUACUGUUGCCAUGCUAGAUGGAGGUCUCUUUGUCAUCUUUGUUGGAGCAAAUGUUCUAUUUGGAGUUGGAGAUCCUGGUGUCAUGGUUGUAAACGUAGCUUUUUUCAUGGUAGGCUUUGCUGCCAUCGUCACGUUAUUCUGAUCAACCUGUGUCAUAGCUGGAUUACCAUUUGUCAAGUUAAUUGGAGCUCCC